rnacentral:rRNA from 1 species
GACGAACGCUGGCGGCGUGCCUAAUACAUGCAAGUAGAACGCUGAAGGAGGAGCUUGCUUCUCUGGAUGAGUUGCGAACGGGUGAGUAACGCGUAGGUAACCUGCCUGGUAGCGGGGGAUAACUAUUGGAAACGAUAGUUAAUACCGCAUAAUAGUAGAUGUUGCAUGACAUUUGCUUAAAAGGUGCAAUUGCAUCACUACCAGAUGGACCUGCGUUGUAUUAGCUAGUUGGUGGGGUAACGGCUCACCAAGGCGACGAUACAUAGCCGACCUGAGAGGGUGAUCGGCCACACUGGGACUGAGACACGGCCCAGACUCCUACGGGAGGCAGCAGUAGGGAAGCUUCGGCAAUGGACGGAAGUCUGACCGAGCAACGCCGCGUGAGUGAAGAAGGUUGUCGGAUCGUAAAGCUCUGUUGUAAGAGAAGAACGAGUGUGAGAGUGGAAAGUUCACACUGUGACGGUAUCUUACCAGAAAGGGACGGCUAACUACGUG